AGGUGGCAGAAACAAAGAGGCCGCGUUUAACAAUUCAGAAAUCGGGGCUGUUUUCUCACGCCUUUUCGGCAACGCCUUAUCUUAGUGGCCAUAGAAAGGCUUUAGAAUAGGUGAGACUAAAGUGUGUGACACAGCAACGGGGUUCUCUGUGCACCAGUCACCCCGCCGCGGCAGAAAUAUGCAAUAUUUUCAUUGUGUGGGCUGAACGCGGCCGGAUCAGCUGUGAGUGAUUCUUGCUGUGGUGUGAGAGCGAGAGAGGAGGCAGAGGACAGAAUCUGUUUCACCCAUCCCUUAAAAACUGCUGCAGCAGGUGUCGGCCAGGCCUCCCCAACCCAGGUCCCGCCCACCAUCCUUCACCAUGUCCGCCGGCUGCUGUGGCACCAAGAAACCCAAGCUCAAUGGCGGCCCACAGAUGGCAAGGGAGACUCAGUCGGGAAUUGAACCACAACCUCUUCGUGCAUCCAUCAGGCACUGUUCCCACUCGACUUCGGCCAAGGGACAAAAGUGUGGAUAUCCUUAUGGACAUCUGAACCCCACACCUGCUCGCAAUCGUGCAGUUUGCUGCUACAAUGGGACAACACCCGCAACUAAUGGAACACUACGUAAUGGCCUCAUUCCCAUAGCCAGCCCAGAGAUGUGCUUCUACUGUUUUGAUGUCCUUUAUAGUCACUUGCACAACGUGGAACCCCCAAGCACUCCUGAUUUUACCAAUGAGCCCUUCCCUUUGUUUGUAACAUGGAAAGUUGGCAAAGACAAGCGGUUACGAGGGUGCAUGGGAACAUUUAGUCACAUUAACCUCCAUGCAGGGUUGAGAGAAUAUGCUGCUACCAGUGCAUUUAAGGACUCCCGGUUCCAGCCCAUUGGGAGAGAUGAAUUACCACGCCUUGGAGUGUCCGUCUCUAUCCUUCGGCACUUUGAAGAUGGUCGGGACUAUAGAGAUUGGGAUAUAGGUGUUCACGGAAUACGAAUAGAGUUCCUAAAUGAGCGGGGUGCCAAGAGGACAGCUACUUACCUGCCUGAAGUUGCUCCUGAACAGGGCUGGGACCAUGAGCAAACUAUUGAUUCACUGCUCAGGAAAGGCGGCUACAAGGGGCCUGUGACUAGCGAAGUGCGACGCAGCAUUAAGUUAACUCGUUACCAGAGCGAAAAAAUCUCUGUUACAUUUCAGAAAUGAUUGUUGACCCACUAAAAAUAUGUCACAUGCAAACCAGGCACUCCUUGAAUUUUUUUAAACUAGAGGAUUACAUGAGCUACUGGAGAAACCGUCGCUGCUAGCAUUCGCUGAACCUUAGGGAUGUAAGAUGUGGGAGUCUUGAUCCUGGGAAUGUGAGUGGUGCCGGCAGAGGUGCAAUUCUUACCCGAGGCAACGAUGUGUGUGGGGCUUCAGAAGCUCAUCACCAUGGACAUCAGUAUCCUCAGACUCCUUAUCAUCAAUAUCAUAAUAAUCAGAUGAUGGCCCAUCACAACAACACUCAUCAGCUUAUUGCUCAUAACAACCAUCAACAUCUCCACUACCUUCAUCACCACAAUCCCAGGUCCCCAUCGCCCCUCCAUCUCCACCAUUAUUCUGCUAGAGGCAGCAGUAGUAGUAGCAGCAGCAGUAUCAACAGCAGUGGUAGAGCCUCUGCAACUAUCACCACCACAACUACCAAUACCAACACUCCACCACUGGGUUUUGACUCGGUGGGUAACUCAGGGCUCGGCGCAUCUCUCUUGUGUGUCACCACCUCAGGGCAUAAUGACUUUGCUCUGUGCGGCCCUCCAGCUCAAGACAUUGCAUUGAUGAAUCAUGGAGGGUGUCCUGCAUGGUGUUCUCACCAUGGGGGCACACCAGAGGGGGAAGGAUGCUUGGAUGGCCUGCGCAGAGUAUCCAACAGGCUGGCAGACUUUCUUAGGGGCCUUUUUAAUUCUUGAUGGUUGGUUUUAGUUAUUUUAGCUUAUUAUUUGUUUAGUAUUGAGUGUCAUUUGUCUUAAGUUUGGUCCAGAACUUAGUUUUGCUAUUUUUAUAACAAUUUUGUAUGGAUCCAGGUCUUUCCAAUGAUCCUGGGAAUAAUGCUUAAGACAAGACUUAAUGUAUUAAUUUGCCCAACAAAGAAAGAGUGCCAUUAUUUCAUCUCAUGCCUGAUCUGAAAUCAAAUACUCAUGCUCAAAAUCAAGAUGAGCUGUAAACUACGAACACACGAGAAUCAGUGCAAUCGGUGUUGUUGAUAGUCAUAAAUGGCUGCAGGCAAAGUAAAGUAUUUAUUACAAAUGAACUGUUGGAUAUGUGGUUCAUGUUUACAGUGAGAAUGUGGAUGUAAAGCCACAGAAGAUGAAGCCCCUCUAGCGGUCCUUAAGAUCCUUGAGUGUGUGGAGUUUGGAAAAGUGGUCAGCUCAUUUUGAUAAUAAGUACGUGUGCUUAAACAUCGAUGGUGAUUGAAAAUUCUUUUUAUUUCAAAUUUUUUAUUUUUUAUUUUUUUAAGAAACUUUCUUAAGCAAGUCACCGAGCCCCGGGCUGGCCUUCCCACUCCCGUCCGCGUGUGUUGUGAUCAUUGGGCAUGUUUGUAGCCCAACCCACACCAGUCUUUCACGUUCAGCGGCUGACAAAACUCUCACAAAAUUGAUGAGCCUCCAAUUUAACCCCAUUUAAAAAGUACUUUGAACAGCAAAUAAGAUGUUGAAUAAGAAUAGUUUCUUCUUCCUGAUAGCAUAUUACAAAGCAAACAGUUCAAUAUUGGUGGUCGACAACCCAUAUGUGAGUUGCGCAACAAGGUACUUGUUUUACUCAUCACCUAAUGAGGUUUGUUCGCCGCUAAUUUUAUAUCAGACUGCCUAGUCGUGAGCACGGUGUCUUGUGCUGCUCAUUCGUUACUUACUAUUGAACGAUCUCAUGUACAGUGUUGUUGAUGAAGAAAACUUAUUUAACACACAUUUUAUACAAUAAUUACAUUACAGUUAAUUUUUUCAAUAGGUGGGACUAGCUUGCAAAUAACUGUGACAACAAGUGGUUAGAAUGAUAACUGACCAUUCCCACCACAAUUUAUAAUGCGAACACCUCCUUCUUAGCUAACUUGGCAAGAGAUUGCCAAACUUACCAAGUGCAUCUCAGUGAUAACAUGUGAUAGAUUAUACCAAAGGUGGCUUGAAAUAAUUGGCAGUUGUGCAGAGUGCCAAUGAAGAAAGAUAAUGGCUCCAUUCUCACCACUGUUAUCUGAGAGUGAUGAUGCCUCAUUAACCCACUUACCUAUAGAGUUUGAGAAUAUGGAAGUAGGUAGUGCAUCAUUGGUGAUCCAGUAAUUAAAGUCUCAGGAUGUUCGAGAGGGGAAUUAACAUUCCUGAAAUGUUUAUAUAGACUUCUCCUUGUGUUAUUUUGAAUGCUUCAGUUGUCACUAAGAUGGUCUGAACUGAGAAGUUAUGCUUAGCAAUCCUUUACAGGAGGCUGAGAAACAAUUGAACAAUGAAACAAUUGCAUCUAGCAAAAUCUAUUUGAAAUGAGUUGAAUUUAUCUUAUCCAUUUAAGUUUAUAAUCACUUUGAGAGUACUUAACAAAAAUUAAAAUUGUUAAAUAAAAAAAUUAGGAUUAUAAAAAAAAUUAGGAUGAUAAAAAAAAAAGCAGUUAAUUAGAUUUGUAAAUUUUACACAAAAAUCUAAAUAUAUAUAUAGAGAGAGAGAGAGAGAUUGUUAAAGAAAGUUGUUUAGGUUGCCUGCAUGUGUGUGUAGCAAGAUAUGAUUGUAAGCUCUAGGGUAGUAAGGGUGCACAGGUUUUCCCAGUGUAUAAACUAUAGGUAUACAGUAUGCUGAAUAUGCAUAAUCUCUUAAAACUUGGCAUGAAUUUUUUGUUUGUAUACAAAUCAGCAGUGAGUACUUACGAGACAAUAUCACAAUGUCAUGAUAGGUAAAUCUGGUCACAAGAGACAGGUCUGUUCACAAUUGGUGCUCGAGAAUAACUUCUCAAUGUGUUGCCAGCAGCAAGAACCACAUGCUGCUGCUGCUGCUGCUGGUAUGUUUAAUCCCCCCUUGAGUUGUGUGAUAUAAAUACGCAUGCCAGGACUGAAAGAGGAAAUGAGUGAGGUUCAAUACUAUGCACAAGGGGUUAAUAUGAAACUAGCCUUAUAUCAUUAUCUCGAUGCCAACUGUACCUGAAUGCUAGACUAAAGGAAAGUGAAUUAUCAGUCAUCAGUUUUGCUUGCUCACUGCCCAGAUAUUGUUCAUGGUAAAAUCAUCAAUACCUAAAUAAUUCAGUACACCAGGAUCACUAAUAUUCUUUAUUGUAUAAGUUUGUAUAUUUAUUCUUAAAUCAUGGUUUAUUCGUUAAUUAAACUUUGACGUAAGUGUAAAUAUGAAUCGCUAGUUUGAAUGAUAAUUGGUAUUAUUUGAUCAGAUUUUGAAAUAUUUAGGUAUUAAUGUUAGGUAUUUUAGAGGUUAGCCACAGGUGGCAUUGCAUAUCUAGAUGUCCUGCUGUGCUGUGCCAAAUCUUACCAUGCAGUAAUUCAUAUGAAUGAUUACAUAUGCAAUUAUUUUAUAAUCACGACAUCAAAUUUAGUUUCCAUUGAUGUUGAGUUUAGAUUUCAUAAAGGUGGUUUAGUGAUGCUCUCCAAAAUACUUGGGUCUUUGUACUAUGUAAUACAAAGGUGCAAUUUUGCAGUGGAAAUUAUGUGAAGUAGUUUUCAUUCUCUCCAUUUUGUAUAUGGAAAAUCUAUUGUAUUCACCCUUACAUAGAUUGUGAGGUAAAAGACUAAGAAAACCAAACCAAAACACUGCCAUUGUGUGUUUAUAUGUUGUUGGGCACUUGUGACAUUAGCUUCAGUAUUGGCAGCUGGUGGUGACUGAUAAAGGCACCUGUUCUGAAUAUGUUAAGCCUCUACAUGGAGUGCUGUGAGUGACCAGGUGGAGACCAUGCCUUCGAGUUGAAUAGUGAAGUAUACGUCCUGUUACUGUGGAUGGUUUCUAAGGUCAGUAGGUUUACCAAAAAUAUUCAGUAAUACAAUUAAAAGAAGUCAUCAUUAAAAUGUCGAUGGAAAUCUUCAUGUGAGGUACAAUUUUAGGUUACUAUAAAAUGGGAUGAUCAGUGUCUUGAGGUCAUUAAUAUUUUAUGUUCUUCCACUGAGGAGAAGAGGCAGUACAAAAUGUAUAGUUAAAUUUCAAAUAAAAUUAAUUUUGCUAUUUAUCAUAGCUGUAUUGUAAAGGAGCUCUGCCAAAAUGUAAUUUAACUAAAAGAAUCCCAUAUCAUACCUAAAUGAACUCUUACCAAGUUUCUACUACUACUAGUGGAUACCAAUUAUAUUGUUUAUUUUUUUUACUAAUAAAUAAUGGAAUGACAUUCAAAUUAAAUAAACACUAAAAAUUGCUUCUUUUCUGAUGGGAACCAUUAUUAUGUUUAAUUUCCUCUAACAUGUGAACUUCCACCGAGAUGUUUGUUACAAAAAUCUGGAUGACCCUGUUUUAAUCAAAAUGACCAACCCAUAAAUUUGGAAGCUUAAAAAUCUAAAUGACAAACAGUAUCAAAGUUCAUUUACUGUGAAUGGAACAUUUUAAGUAAUUAAAAAUAACUUUCUUAAGUUUCAGUUUUCAAUUAGACUCAUGUAUAGUAGAGCAUGUGAAAUUGAUGGAAGGGAGAUAUCGACCACUAUAUUUGUGGCCAGGUAUACCUGUCUCAGGCAAAUUUUAGUUAGGUAUUAACCUCACUAUAAUUGUAAGCAGAAAAUGAUCAAAGUCUGUGUGGUGAACCUCAAAUGAAGGUAAUCCUUAUGUGAUGCUAUUCUUCCCUGAAUGAAACCACGUGCAAAAAAAAAAUUGUAAUUAACUUUCCUCAAAAAAACAAAAAAACAAAAAAAUUACCCAGGUGUGUGCAUGUUACAGAAAUUAUUAUAUAAGGCUAUGGUUAUUGGUCAUUACUAAUAAGAGUUUAUUUCAUGCAAUGUAACAGAGUUUUUUGUAUUGAUAAGGGAUUCUGAAUUGUAAAUGGGAUUUUAUUAAGGCAUAUAUUACUCAUUACACAGGGUGAUAAGCCUUGCUAAAGGCCAUGAUGAUGGCUAUAUAUAAUUUUUUGGUGGUGAUCAUAACAUGACGUAAAGGGCAUAAUUAUUUUAUUUAGAUAAUGGGUCAUUUACGAAAAUUUACAGAAUUUGCUUAGAAGUAUUUUGGGAAAAUUGCAAAUGGGCAAUUUUUAAGAAUUUUAAUAAAUUUAGUUAUUACUUUUACAUACCUGAAGGUAAAUUAGACACACACAUCCUAUGAUGUUUUGAUUUACUGUACAGGAAAUGUACCAUAAGAGAUAACAUUUGUCUUAAUGAAUGUGACAAGUAUACAUCUUGUUUGUCAUCAUUAAUGUUUAAAGGGAGGGAAUGCUUUCCAAGCAAAAAGAGUCACUUUAGUCCAAAUUAUUAACCACUGUGCUGUGCACCUGUUUUUUGCAAAAACUUUAUAGUGCAAUUGUUAAGGACAUAUGUUUUGUUGUUUUUAUAAAUGUUCAGGUAAAGUUAAUGUCAAAAUGUUUCCAAAUUCAACCAUUUUCAUUUCAAAACCCAAAGAGUGAUGAAACAUUAAAAAACAUUAAAAUAUAGCCUAAUUAAAACAAAAAAAUAGCACAACUCUCAGAGCGCCUCAAGGUGCUCAGCGCUACACGGUGGUUAAGAGAAUGCAACCACGGUUAUGUUGCAAAAAUAAGUACUAUAAUGUAAUUCUGCAUCAUAGGUUGUGAAUAAUUAUUUUCAUCCCAGUACUAUGGUACUUAUGCAAUCCCAUUAGUAAAUGGCAAAAAAUAUACUCUACAGCAAAAUUCUUAAUUUGACCAUGUAAAGAUUUAUGGUAGAAUGAUUAUUGAUGUACAGUAUUUAAGGACGUUAGGUGCAAGAAAAGUGGUUUAGUGUAUUGACAUGGCAUGGUAACACAAUGCACAGGGAAAGUGUGUAAUAUAGUAUUCCUUUUGCAACAUUUAAUGGUGUUUCACACUAAACUGAAGUCCAUGAUCAUAUUUUAUAUUUUGAUAAUGUAAUAAAAAUAUAUGUGCAUUUAUGGUAACUUUAGUAAACAUAAAUUUUGACUACAGUAUAUGAUUCAUCUUAUGAUCAAUUGAAGGAAUAAUCCUGAGAUACCUGCUAGUUUCAUUAGUAGAAUUAUGAUGCUCUACAGGAAUUAAGAUAUUUUGUCAUGAUCAAAACGAGAUUUCAUGCUUGACCGGUGUUUAUUUUAAACAAGAGAUAGGAAAUGGUGGGAUGAUGAAUUGCGGCAACACGAAUUUCUGGUUUGCAGAAACUAUCGUAGAAUGAGUGCAAUUAAUUGCUGGAAUAGCUGAGCCUUCCAUUGCUAAGAUGGUUCCUUGAGUAAGGCUACAUGUGUAUUAAGUUCACUGUCCUGUGCUGCAGGAGUCUCGAUUACAGGUGCCUUCCGCCAGCCUGGGGACCCUCGGGCCACUCCACAAACAUUACUGCCUCACCUCAUCAAUGUUCAAAAUUUAAAUGUUUCUAUCACUUAUUAACUAGUAUGACAAGUGAGAGAUCACAUUAGCUUUAACUAUUUUAAAUAAGUUUUAUACAAUGGGAAUUCCAAUUCAUUUUUAGAGGAAUUCUUACUUCCACAUGAGGAAUAUUGUUUUGAUUCUGGAGUAGUCCAUUAUUUGUAGAAUAGAAGAAACUGUGAAGAGGUUAGCCAUUGCAAGCCUUAGAUGGUACUUCAAUAAGGGUAAUUUUUAAAGUUUUGCAAGUAGUUAUCAUGCCUUAAUAAGACCAUUCACAAGGCCUUUAAUGGCUGAGUCUGUCACAGUAAGUAUUGUAAGCGAGUUGCGUCUGUUAAAAGUACUACUGGAGCCUUGUUUAUGGAGUACACCAUUUAGUGAUGAUCCUUUAGGAAUGGAAUUUGCCAUUUUUCUUCAGUUCUUUUGUAUGUGUAAAAAUUAGUGCUGAUGCCACUGAAUUAACUUUUGGGUUGUUCAUUGUUAGUUUUUUGGUUUUUAUUUGGAUGGUCCAUAGUACUUGUGUUUGUGGUGUAUGCAAGCGAGAAUUUUUGCGCAAUUGUAUAACUCAAAUGAUUCUGCAUUACUUAUAAAUGAAUGUUGUAUGAAGUAAAACAAACUUUUGCAUUUUAUAUAGAACAUAUAGCAUACAUUUCACAUGUAGAAACAGUUACUGUAAUUCACUUAGAAUCUCCAUUGAAAAUGAAAUAAACCCCUUUUUCACUA